UACGUAGGUGACCAGCGUUGUCCGGAUUUACUGGGCGUAAAGAGCGCGCAGGCGGUCGUUCAAGUCGAGUGUGAAAGCCCCCGGCUCAACUGGGGAGGGUCAUUCGAUACUGAUCGACCUGAAGGCAGGAGAGGGAAGUGGAAUUCCCGGUGUAGUGGUGAAAUGCGUAGAUAUCGGGAGGAACACCAGUGGCGAAGGCGGGUCUCUGGACAGUUCCUGACGCUGAGGCACGAAGGUCAGGGGAGCAAACGGG
rnacentral:rRNA from 1 species